rnacentral:lncRNA from 1 species
CGGGGCCUGGCUGGACAAGCAAGUAUUUGUACUUUUGUCUUGCACACAGUAGAGGAUCACAGGCAUUUGAAAUGACACAACUGGAAGCUAAAUCCAACAGCAGGGGAGACCCUUACCAAGGCAAGCCCCUGUCGUCUAAACUACUCAGACUUCAUCUGUCAGCUCAAGCAUCACAUCCAAGUAUGAAGCUUUGCACAAGCUCUCGGGAACUAUUUCCUCCUUCAACUGUUACCAUAGCACCUUGGACAGAGCAGUUUACCCAUCAGCCUCUACCACUGGACUGGAAGUCCCCCAAAGGCAGAAACCACCUCUCUACAUCCAUAUGAUGUGGGUAUGGUUCCUACCACACAG